GCCCCUCCCACGAGGCUUGCAGCGAGGAAGCCAACACCAGGAGGAUUUACUUAACUAGUCCCGCAUGACCAAACUGUGAACUAGCAGAGCUAUAAUUCAGCCCAAGCCUGCCUCUGCAGUCCAAGGCCAACAUCAUGGUCUGAUACCUGUUUUUUGAAACACCACUCUUAAUUCCCAGAUUCAGUGGCUCCUUUUGAAUUCAUACUAUGCUUAGUCCCUCAGCAGCAUUUCCUG
rnacentral:lncRNA from 1 species